UGAUGAAGCUGAUCCAGAUCAACCUCCACCACUCUAAACUCGCGUCUGCGAACCUUGAGGUCCGCCUGGCUGCCGGUGGACUCGACGUUGCCCUCAUCCAGGAACCGUGGAUACACGGCAAUAAAAUCUGCGGACUUGGGAUGAAGGGCUUUAAGCUUAUUGCCGCACAAAAUGCAGCUUAGUGACGGCGAUCUGGUAGUGGCAAGCAUUGAGCUGGACAAAACCAGCUUUUGGGUAGCCUCUGCCUACAUGGCCCAUGACAAGGA